CUGGGCAUGAAUUUGUAAACAAGAUGAAGAAGAAGAAGAGGGGUUACCCGUCCGUCUACUCCAAGCGUGAAGAGAGGUUCUACUUGGCCUUAAAGCAUACAACUCCAUGAUUUUGCAAAGCCCUUCAGCAAGACAAGGCCCAUAGGUAAAGAAGCUCUCUCAAGACUAUAUCAACUCUCCCAGACAAUGGAGACUCUCCCAAACAACUUUCUCUUGGACAAACAUCAGUUGUCUCGAACAACAGAUUGAGCCCCUUCAAAAUUAUGCUAGUUUCUCCCAGAUAAGCCAUGUUCUUCCGCCAGGUGAGAGGUAUUUUAAUCACGUGCCUUACCGUCUCACGCCAUCUCAGUGCUUUGUCUCACCACUUUGGGUGAAAGGUAUUUUUGUCAUUUUAUCUACAUUGUGUAGUUUAAGAAAUACAAAUAGCAUUUUUUUUUAUUUUUAUGACAAACUUUAAAUUUAAUCAAUCUUACAUUGGAACUUUUAAUUUUGUAUCAGUUCAAUACUACCAUUCAAAUUUACAUAAUUAAUAAUCAUUUGAUUAUUAAUUUUUGAUUUUUUUUCUCAUUUUUCUAACUUAACCAUGCAUAAAAUGACAAAUUCUAGAUAUGUUCCUGCUUAAGUUUGAAAAGUAGUAAGAAAAAUAAAUAAUUAAUAUAAUAGAAGAGAAUUAAUAUUUUAAGUUUUAAUAAGAAAUAUGAUAAUAAAUAAAGAUGAAUGGGAGCUUAACCCUCAGGUAAUGAAUCAAAUCUUAUGAAUGCUGUUGAUUUAAGCCUUUUGUCAUUGAGACAUAAUAUGUUUGAAUGGACCAUCAUAUUGCAAAAAUUUGUGUUUAUAUGUGAUAACAUAAUAUGAUACCAGUGUGUGUGUAUAUACUAUAAAAAAGGUAAGUAAAACAUUAUAAAGUUUCAAAUAAAAGUUCCUUUGAUAUGCAGUUUAGUUUUUAGAAUUUUUUAUAAAGCUUAGAUAAAUAUAAGAUUUAAUAGAAUAAUAAAAUAAUUUUAUUUUAAGUUAAAGUUUAUGAAUUCAAAUCUUGUUGAUAGGGUUACUUUUU